rnacentral:rRNA from 1 species
GACGAACGCUGGCGGCGUGCUUAACGCAUGCAAGUCGAACGGAAAGGCCCUGCUUUUGUGGGGUGCUCGAGUGGCGAACGGGUGAGUAACACGUGAGUAACCUGCCCUUGACUUUGGGAUAACUUCAGGAAACUGGGGCUAAUACCGGAUAGGAGCUCCUGCUGCACGGUGGGGGUUGGAAAGUUUCGGCGGUUGGGGAUGGACUCGCGGCUUAUCAGCUUGUUGGUGGGGUAGUGGCUUACCAAGGCUUUGACGGGUAGCCGGCCUGAGAGGGUGACCGGCCACAUUGGGACUGAGAUACGGCCCAGACUCCUACGGGAGGCAGCAGUGGGGAAUAUUGCACAAUGGGCGGAAGCCUGAUGCAGCAACGCCGCGUGCGGGAUGACGGCCUUCGGGUUGUAAACCGCUUUCGCCUGUGACGAAGCGUGAGUGACGGUAAUGGGUAAAGAAGCACCGGCUAACUACGUG